UUAAAUAAAUGAAUAUAUAUAGAAAAAUUCACUGGGUGCAAACAUCGAUGGAUUCAGCUUUGAAAUGUCCGCUACUUUCGAAUGUGAAACGUUGUUCGAUCGCAAAUAUGCAUUGCUGUAAUUCUGUUGAUAGACUUUUAAGAUUUGCUUAAGCAUAAUUGACGUUAACCGACGGAAUUAUUCUUCCAUAAUUUAUGGACUCAUUGAAUUGGAAAGUACUUGUGCGAUCUCAAAAAACAGGAUUGCCUUUGGGAAUUUGAAACGAUGCAGACGUUACAAUGUGUUGUUUAUCAUCAAAUGCACCAUACGACAUCCAUAAUGUGAUGGUGCAUUUCAUUACACGUACGACUGGCGGGCAAAGAGGCCAUGGCUGUUUUAUAAGAUUUACACGAAAAAGCUACAUGCGCUUGAGGAUUAAAAAAAAAAGCACAUAAGAAGAUCUGAGAUGCAUACAAAAGGUUUUCUCUUAGAUGCGUUUUCUACAUUCUCUGCAUUUAAAUGAAACAGGUACAGAGCCAGACAGAGAAAUUAUAACACCCAUAAACUAAAUUGUCUAGCAACAUUGCACGAAUGUAAUACUGCUAAUACAUGUAUACGGGAAAAAUUAUUUGGUUGAUUGUAUCAAAAUUCUGUUUUAAAAUAGACAAAUUAGAAAUUAGAAAUUCAUUAAAGUUAUUAGAAUUUAAAGUAACGCAAUUUCUCGUAAAUUCAAUAAACUUCUAGUUAAUUUAAACAAAAAUCUAUCAGUCAUUUCAAUCGAAAUAUAUCUGAUUUGUCUAUUUUUAACCAGAAUUUCUUUUUUCAUGUAAAUUGUACGGUAUUGCAGAAAAGCAUAGUAUGUGAAAAAAUAAUGAAGGUUUAUGUAUUCAAAUGUGAUCGUUAUAAACCUUAUUAAACUAAUAAUAUUAAGACAACAU